GCAGUGGUGGUUCAGUAGUAAAAUUCUCACCUACCAUUUGGGAGACCCAGGUUUGAUUCCUGGCCAAUAUG
rnacentral:tRNA from 1 species